rnacentral:sRNA from 18 species
GGCAGGGCCUUGCGUUCAGGCUUUCGGUACGCCAAGAGAUGCGUCAGACUUAUCCAAGGGAGGAUAAGGAACCGUUACGGAUCCGUGCAAUGAGCGAAUCCACAAUAACGCAGGUC